UUUAGUCAUGUUAUGUCAUUACGUUUAAUUUUUCAUUAAAAUGAGUGAUCGAUAUUGUGAUGAAAAAUUGGGCUGCAAUUUUUAUGAAAAUUGUAACAAUAACGUUUGCGUUUUUUCGGAUUCGUAUAAAAUCUUCCUGUUCGUUUUGAUAAUGGCUUUCGUUAAUUUACCGGUGUUUAUGAUUUCGACGAUAUUGACUAGACGCAUCGUUGGUAUAUGCUUGGGUGUUGACAUGAGCAACCGAAAUUGGUACAACUACAAAAAAUCGUAAAAACUACAAAAUCGUUAAAUUUCGGAUAUUCAAAUGGAAGUUGGUUAAAUUUAAAAAUUCGAUGAAUACACAUCAUUCUAAACGAAAUUAGAAUUUUUUUCACGCAUAACAAAAGUUUUCUUCUGUCGUUUUUGGUCAA